GACGAACGCUGGCGGCGUGCUUAACACAUGCAAGUCGAACGGAAAGGCCCUGCUUGCCGGGUACUCGAGUGGCGAACGGGUGAGUAACACGUGGGUGAUCUGCCCUGCACUUCGGGAUAAGCUUGGGAAACUGGGUCUAAUACCGGAUAGGAACCAUCUUUAGUGUGGUGGUUGGAAAGUUUUUUCGGUGUAGGAUGAGCUCGCGGCCUAUCAGCUUGUUGGUGGGGUAAUGGCCUACCAAGGCGGCGACGGGUAGCCGGCCUGAGAGGGUGUACGGCCACAUUGGGACUGAGAUACGGCCCAGACUCCUACGGGAGGCAGCAGUGGGGAAUAUUGCACAAUGGGCGCAAGCCUGAUGCAGCGAAGCCGCGUGGGGGAUGAAGGCCUUCGGGUUGUAAACUCCUUUCGCUAGGGACGAAGCUUUUUGUGACGGUACCUAGAUAAGAAGCACCGGCUAACUACGUG
rnacentral:rRNA from 1 species